ensembl:lncRNA
AAUUUCACCUCAUUUAAUUUCUGUCAUCUUUGUUACAUAUUGUUGUGAUUUACAUUGCUGUGUUUGAGAGUCACCAUCUACCGGAACCAGAUUCCUUGUAUGUGUCUGCGCAUAUACAUGGCCAAUAAACACAAUUCUGAUUCUGAUUAACUAGUGAAGAAUCAAUAACCAGAGAAUCAGCCAACAGGGGAAGAGCCGGAGAGAUUUAACCAACGGUGAGCCUCUGAGACUAACGGAAAACAGCUGAAAACGGAAAACAAAAGAAAAUUCAACUCUUGAUUCUUAAUGGAGAUAACAGAUGCAGCAGUGCACAGUUGACAGGUCAUCGACAAACAUGGGCAGGACGCUUUUUCUUCUCACUGCUCUCUUAGGAGUUGUUUUCUGUAGUCAUGGCAAGCUGUCUGGACCAGAGUUAGUGCUAAGAGUCAGACCCGGCGAUAACAUCACUCUUCACUGCGACUGCCGAAAAUCAAGCCGCAAUUUCAUAGUUUGGUUCAGGAACUGUUCUCAUGAGAACCAGCCUUCACUCAUUCUGAGGACAAACUACAAAUAUGAUCCAUCAUACCUUGAGGACAAAGUAGACAUUCUCAAUCCAUUCCCUCGUUUGCAUUUAGUGGAAAACCAGUCUUCUGACUCCUAUGACCUGUUGAUCAUGAACACUACUGAUUCUGAUGAGGGUCUCUACUACUGUGGAACUGAACAGAAGGAGAUUGACGCAACAUUUUCUCAGAAAUAUAUUUACAAAUAUGGCAACAUCACAACCAGGAUUCUGUUGACCUCCACCGUGAUUCGUCAUGACAUCCACAAACCUCAGGAGGACUGUAGCAUGUGCUGGAAGCUGCUUUUCACUCUGUGUCCUUUUAUUGUCGCUCUCUUCUCUCUUUUAUCCUCUGUACUG